AACAGCAUUUGAGUUGCUUGUCAUGUGCUCGCCGCUUUUCUGUAAGAUUGUUGCUGUUAUAUUAUUAGUACUACUAGCGGCAUUUUGCUGCGCUGAAAUCGUCAUAGAUGCGCAAAGACAUCUCAAAUAUUCAGCGCAAAGCACAUUAAUUAUUUCAAUAGUUUUCACAUCAUUUUUUGUAGUUUUUAUUACUUUCUAUGGUAUAUUUGUUGCGCUAUCGCAAUAUAUAGUGAAGCUUAUAGUGCUAGCUGCUGUAGUUUGUAUCUACUGCUUUGCUAAGGGCGCGCUUUGGAUGUUCUUGAGCACUGAAGCAAGCACUUGGUUUGUAGUAACUUUUAGCUUUUCAGUUGUCAACACAUUUGUCUUAUUCAGUUUGGUUAUAGCACGAGCUCAAGCCUUCGAGGCUGCGCAACAAGCAUAAAUGUGCUUUUUACCCAUUACAGUGCUUAAGAUCAAUGUGUUUAGCUUUGGUCUGGCAACUAUGAUCUUAAGCAGCGUGGAUUCCUAUUUUGUGCUGGAUAAUAUAGACAAAGCUGCGCAUUAUCUACAAAUUGCAAUGUAUGCCUCAGUAGCUUUAAAUUGCUUUGCAAAAGUUGC